rnacentral:lncRNA from 1 species
GGCGCGAGGUCACUCUCCACCUCUUGGAGCUCUCGGCCUUUUUUCCCGCCCCCUACGCCUCUCGGGAUUGGUCGAGGUGGCGUAGGACUGGGGCGGAAUUGGCUGGUAGAGGCGUCAGCCCGCCCUGUUCCGUACCGUGAAGCCUGGAGGGAAUUCUGAGUCCCUGAGCUACGGCGGGCGGCGGCGGAAGUGACCAGAGGAGUCCCGCCCCGGCUCGGCCGGCACCAUGGUGAGGGGACUCUGGGGGAGACGGGUCGGGCGGGAGCUACUCCGAGGCUCAGUCCCCGGCACUGGCACGAGGAGAGCAGGGAGGGAGGCUGGUUCUCGGUAAACCUAGGGGGUUAUGGCGGGUCUGGCACGGCGAGACUCUACCUGGUCUCCCCUUCAUCUCCUCCUUUUCAUAUCCCUUCUCAUUUCCCUCAGCCCUUAUUUCAUCCCAUCCCUCUUGUCGUUCUCAUAUUCCUCUUCCUCACUCCUUUUCCCUCUCAUUUCCUCAUCCUCUUUUAUAUCUCAGUCCUCCUCGUUUCCCAUUCCUUUCAAUCUUUUCUUCCCCUUCCCCUACUCCUACUCUUCAUCUCCCUCCUUAUCUCUUCCUUCAUUCGUUUCCUUAUUCCCCUUCCUACACAUCUCCCUCCUCAUCCUUUCUCCUUUUCUUCCUCAUCUCCCUCUUUAAUUCCUCUCUUCACAAUCUUUCUUUUCAUACCUCCCUCCACAGCCUCUCAUUCCCAUCCUACCCAUCCCCCUCUAUUCAUUCUUCCUUUUCAUUUCCAAAAUCAAUUGCAAAUCUUCUACAUACCAUUCAAAGCCGUUCAUAACCUAUCCCCCUCCUAUUAUUACAGUUUUCUUACACUUUACUCUCUACCACGUAUUCUUCGUUCCAGAGACACUGAUUUCCUUGCUGUCUUUGGCACAAGACACUCCAUCUCUUAGGUCCCAGCAUUUUCUCUGGUGGUCCCCUAUGCCUCAAUACCUUCAUUCUUUACCUCUGUCUUCUGACUUCCUCUUAAGUUCCAACUAAAAAAAUCUGCAAGAAGCCUUUCCCAUUCCCUCUUAAUUCUGAAACGCCCCUCUGUUAAUGAUUACUCUUUAUCUUGUACAUAGUNN